rnacentral:rRNA from 1 species
AACCAACCGGGAUUGCCUCAGUAACGGCGAGUGAAGCGGCAAAAGCUCAAAUUUGAAAUCUGCGUAAGCCGAGUUGUAAUUUGAAGAUGGCUACUUUGGUAAUGGCUCUGUCUAUGUUCCUUGGAACAGGACGUCACAGAGGGUGAGAAUCCCGUGCGAUGAGAUGUCCAUUACCGUGUAAAGUGCUUUCGAAGAGUCGAGUUGUUUGGGAAUGCAGCUCUAAGUGGGUGGUAAAUUCCAUCUAAAGCUAAAUAUUGGCGAGAGACCGAUAGCGAACAAGUACAGUGAUGGAAAGAUGAAAAGAACUUUGAAAAGAGAGUGAAAAAGUACGUGAAAUUGUUGAAAGGGAAGGGCUUGAGAUCAGACUUGGUAUUUUGUAUGGCUUGCUUUCGGGCGGGUCCUCUGCAGUUUACUGGGCCAGCAUCGGUUUGGGUGGCAGGAUAAUAGCAUAGGAAUGUGGCUCUACUUCGGUGGAGUGUUAUAGCCUUUGUUGAUACUGCCGCCAGACCGAGGA